rnacentral:lncRNA from 1 species
AGCCAGCGAUGGAUGAUCUCGAGCUCUCAGUCUUCCUGCCUCCACUUGUGAACUCGGAACUCGCAGGCAUGCACCACAGUGCCUAAAGGCUUCAUGGACUCUCUUCUAAGUCGUGGACCUAAGAUUGAUGUUACCUUUAGUCAUGCAUCUAUGUUUGUGUGUGUCAUGUGUGUGAGUGUACCCCUGGAGGCCAGAGGUGUUAGAAUCUCUGGAGCUGGAGUUACAGGUGUUUGAGAGCCCUCUGAAAUGAGUGCAGGGGAUUGAACUUGGGUCCUUCUGUAAGAGUAAUACAUGCUCUGAAUCCCUAAGCCAUCCCUCCAGCCCAAGAAAUGGCAUGGCAGAUUCUAUAAACCAAAUAAUAGCUUGGGGGACAUGACAUAGUCACUGGAUGCCUUAACCUCUUACAUAGCCAACUGGGGCCUAUAUAUACCCCUGAAUCAUGAUCCUUAAUUCCUUUACAGGAUCCUUAGUUUAAGUAUAUUUUGACUUAGGUUUAUUUGGCAAUUUAGAUAUAUCUAAAAUCAAACUUCUCCUGCAACUGUGUUUUGAGACAGGGUCUCACUAUGUGGACCUGGAUGUCCUGGAACUCACAGCGAUCCUCUUGGCUCUGCCUCCCAAGUACUAGGAUUAAAAGCAAGCACCAACUACAUCUGUCACCUCUCAGCUCUGUCAGGCGGGCAUUCUUCUGUCAGAUCCCAGGAGAGGCGUGCCAUCCAUCUUGGGCAGUCUGUCUUCUGUACGCUCUGCAUUGCUGUCUGGGACUACAGGCAAACAUUAGCUGCAGCCUCUUGUCUAGAUUGGAGGGAAGCCAUCACCUUCAGACUGCUCUGGAAAGCCUUGUGUGUAUGCCUCAGGCUGGGCAGUUUCUGGUGUGUUCUCUGGACCUUUGGCUAUUCUGAUGAAAACUUGCCUCUGAUCUCAAAUGUUUGGCAAGUUGGGUGUUAGUAUAAACUGGGAUGAUGCCAUCUUAGAAACUGAAAUUCUCAAAGAACAGAUAACCCCAUUAAUCUGUUAGGAUCCUCCAGGCUAACAGUAAUACGAUUAUAGAAUCAUCCUCACUAGACACAGAUAGGGACGGGUGGCCUUCUGAAAGAGGUCAGUGCAGAAGCUGAGUGAAGAGGAUGCUUGGAACCUUAAUGGGAAGCUGAUGCAGGAAGAGACAAGUUUAAGGCCAGCCUGGGUUGCAGGGGGAUGUAUCACCUAAGAGAAAUAAUAAAUUUAUUUGACUUGGUCUGUAGGCCAGAGGACAGAAAAAUUGGUGAAAGUUGGCACAGAAGCCUUUAUUAUACAGCAGCUUUCCAUAGGGUUGGGAAAAUGUUUUAUUGUAACAGAGAGAGAAAGAAAAUAAAUUACAAACAAAAAACAACUCUCUUAGUAGCCUGGUGAGGUGGCACAUUCCUUUAAUCCCCACAGUGAAGACAAAGGCAGGGAGAGCUCUGUGAGUCUGAGGCUAGCCAGGUCUAAAUAGAGAGUUCCAGGCAAUCCAAAUCUCCAUAGUGAGACCCUGCCUAAGAAAGGAAAGGAAAGGAAAGG